UUUGCAGUAAAGUAGCGAAAAGCUGUGAACCCCUCACGUGGAGAUGUGGGAGGCAGACACGGGCUGGGGAGACAGCAGAGGGGGGUGCAGGUGUGGACUGGGGCCAAGAGCCACCCUGAGGAGUGGUUCUCCUGGGGAGCCACAGACGCCUCAGGGCACACAGCUCUCGCACGAUGGACGCCCUGCUUGUCCACGCGAGAGGUGAGUUAUCAGGAUCCCCGUGCCGGAAGCUUCUGAGCCAGUGCAGAACCCCACCUCCUUGCUCGGGACAAUUUCCUGGCAACCAGGGAUUCAGAAGCAGGGGAUUUCUGGUUAGGCCAUGAGCCACAGGGAUAUUUUUCACAGGAGCUUCUGGGGGCCGCCUGCCAGGACUGCCCUCAAGGGACACCAAGUGACCGAGACAUGAGGGCGUGCUGACUCCUGCGGUCAGCACAUGGGCCCAGUUUCCCCUCGUGACCUGCCCACAGCGGGGCCCACCGCCUCAGGUGGUGGCUCACCAGGACCUGUGGAAGGGCCAGUCCAGGGGGUCCCAGGGGAUGCGGGCCACCUGGCCCUGAGGCAAGGCCACAGCCUUUCCCCUGGGGGUGCACGGGGCACCUGAUCUGGUCCUGCUGCCCGGGACACAGCCCCGCGGCCUCCCGUGGGGGCAGCCACCAGUCACCCUCACGACUCAGGUCACGUGGGGUGGGGAAGGCCCAGGGUGGGGGCCGCCCACGGGGGUGCUGCCUGGAGGCUUCCCCGGGGCUGGGGUCCCCUGGCUGGCCUGUGCAUGGGAUGUAAGGGCAUCUCCCUUCUCAGGGGAAUGAGGGGAGGCUUGGCUGAGAGUAAAAGUCAGCGCCUAUGCAGCCAGCAGGGUCCUGAAACCGAGGGCGCUGUGAGGAGUCUAGGCUACCGCGGGAAAACAAAACUCGGGCCUCCCCAAGGCAGGUGACCCAGAAAGUCCUUCAAACAUACUCUGGGUCCCUAGUUUUUGUCUCCAAAUACUUCAGCUCCUUGUCUGUGCCGUCAGGGGUGGGUUUUCUGCUGGGGGUGAACCUGGCAAACAGCUGCUGUCCUGGUGGGAGCUCUCCUCUGCGAGCUGGGGUCCCCGGAGGCAGGCCCCCCCAGAGGCAGAGUCCCCCGGAGGCAGGGCCCCCCCAGAGACAGGGUCCUCCGGAGGCAGGGCCUCCGCAGAGACAAGGUACCCCGGAGGUAGGGCCCCCCCUAGAGACAGAGUCUCCCGGAGGCAGGCCCCCUCCCAGAGGCAGGUCCCCCCAGAGAUAGGGUCCUCCAGAGGCAGGGCCCCUGCAGAGACAAGGUACCCUGUAGGUAGGGCCCCCCUAGAGACAGAUUCCCCCGGAGGCAGGGCCCCCCAGAGACAGGGUCCCCCGGAGGCAGGCACUGUGGGAAGGUGCGUGAGUGUGAGCAGGGGCGGCAGGGCCACGGGUUGGGGGCCAGGACUGUGGGAAUUGUCCACAGCCUUUCUGGAAUCAAAACACUGGCAAAUGUCAAAAAGUGCGUAAUUUGUUUUACUGAAACAGGCUGCUUAUUUAUGUUUGGAAGGCCGGCUUCAAGGACCCGUCUGGGCCCUCCUUAGAUGAUAAUGUCAACAGAAACACAAACAGAUGGGGGGUGGGGCGGUCUGGGGGCUCCUCGGAAUGAAGUGCAGACAGGAAUUCGUGCUGGUCGCAGGCAGAGAAACUCCACGUGACCCCUGCUCUCUGGACCUGGCCACCGCGGUGAAUGUUCCCAGCUGAGUUCCAGAACUUGCAGAGAGCAGAUCGGAUCCAGCCCAAGAGAACCGGAAGGGGGUGGGCUGUCCUUUAUCCCGUGUUCCCUCAGCCUGAUGGGCGGUAGCUGGGGUGCAACCCCCACCCCCACCCCGACGCCCAGGGUGGCCGUGGAUUCAGGCAAGGCCCCGCCGCUGUGGCCGCGGCUUGUCUCGCUCCCUCCCUCACCCCAGAUGGUGUGGCUGAUGCUGUCCCUCUGUGUCACGCCGUCAACGAGGUACUAUUUUCAUGUUCGUGGACGGACGAGGAACCUGAGGCACAGUGCGUCUGAGUAGCCCGCGCGAGGUCUCACCCUGCUGGGAUUAGCUCGUAACUUGGUUUUCGCGCAUCCAGGUGACAAUGUGUCUGAUGACACAGAAGAAAGAUCACCAGCACAAAGUCACUGAACACUUCAAAAUGAUGACACGAAUGCAUUUUCAAGAAUAACCCAUCUCAAAUUCUGUGGCGGGGCGCCUGGGGCGUUCGGUGCGUUGAGCGUCAGACUCUUGACUUCGGCUCAGGUCCCGAUCUCAAGGUUGUGGGAUCCGGCCCCACGUGGGGCUCUGCUCUGAGGGUGCAAAGCCUGCUUGGGGUGCCCACUCCCUCCCUCU